rnacentral:rRNA from 1 species
CUACGGGGUGCUCCAGUGAGGAAUAUUGCACAAUGGAGGAAACUCUGAUGCAGCAACGCCGCGUGGAGGAUGACGCAUUUCGGUGUGUAAACUCCUUUUAUAUGUCAAGAAAAUGACGGUAGCAUAUGAAUAAGCACCGGCUAACUCCGUGCCAGCAGCCGCGGUAAUACGGAGGGUGCAAGCGUUACUCGGAAUCACUGGGCGUAAAGGACGCGUAGGCGGAAUAUCAAGUCAGGUGUGAAAUCCUACAGCUUAACUGUAGAACUGCACUUGAAACUGGUAACCUAGAGUAUGGGAGGGGGAGAUGGGAUUAGUGGUGUAGGGGUAAAAUCCGUAGAUAUCACUAGGAAUACCUAAAGCGAAGGCGAUCUCCUGGAACAUAACUGACGCUAAGGCGUGAAAGCGUGGGGAGCAAACAGGAUUAGAUACCCGCGUAGUC